CUGAGCGAAACCCCAGGCUUUUCAUCGAUGCUGAGGAAAGAAAUUUUGAGAAGCAUUGACACCCCAGCACUCAGACAGAGGGCGCCUGGGGAGCGGAGGAAAGUAACUGUGCGUCCUCUUCGGGGCUAAAUGCUUUGACGGCAGUAGGAAAACACUGACCACACGGAAUUGAGCAGACUUUAUUGGUCAUAGCUGUUCUAUUUGGAGGGAUGCUGCUGAGAUGCAGCAGUGCCCCAAAAUACGUGAAGCUGGCCGGGUGCACGAUGCGUUCAGUGACUCAGGGCUCGUCCUCAGCAUCCCACGGCGCAGAAGCUGCAGGGGAUUUUAAAACCAGCAGCGUGAGGAAGCGAUGUCUAUGUCUCACUGCUUCGCUUUCUGUGCCACGCAAGGUGUAUCGUUCAAGCUGCUUUUCACCAGUUGUAGCAAAAAAUCCGUAAAAGGGAACGACAAAUGGGGUCAGUCGCAAGAUGUGGCAGUAACGAAGAGAUCUACUUGGCAGCCGGAUGGAAAAUGUUUGUACAGUAUUAAUAUGUCUGGGACGACGCUGUGCAUAGCUGCGAUACGUGGUGCACCGAGUUCGUGGAAGUCCCAUAGCUAAAUCUCGAUAAAUCUCUCCAGAGAGAGAGAGAGGUCUGGAAAAUAAGAACCUGGUCCUGAAGGUCGGGGGAUCUUGUUGCUCCUCCUGGGGGAAAAUGAUCCUGCGCGGGGGCCCAGGCCGUACGACCUGAGCCCGGGCUGCUGGAAGCGUCGGGAGGCUGCUGGGGGAGUCUGGCACGCAGCGCAGUUGCAGACUUGCUGACAUGUACAACUUGCUAUGCAGACUGUCAGUUAUGUUCACAUUAAAUGUGUAAAAUAGAUACAA